rnacentral:lncRNA from 1 species
CUUUCAAUUAAAUACUUAUUUUUUAACUUCAUCCUUUCCAGUAAUUCCCUCUCAAAUUUUCUCAGGAGGGAGUGGUGUGCGUAUGGGAAAAUUUUCCCAUAAAAGUACGUUGGCAUUGAUUUUUCUUCAUAGAAAUCUAGAAACAACUACUUUUGUUCACGUUUAUUUGCAAUCAUUCAUGCAAUAUUUUUGCAACUCUUUCUCCCGUGCACUUUG